rnacentral:misc_RNA from 1 species
AACACUGUUAACCUGCGGUACCUGCGGAAGGAUCAUUACAGAGUUCAUGCCCUCACGGGUAGAUCUCCCACCCUUGAAUACUAUACCUUUGUUGCUUUGGCGGGCCGCUUUGGCUACUGGCUCUGGCUAGUAAGUGCCCGCCAAAGAACCCCAAAACUCUGAAUAUUAGUGUCGUCUGAGUACUAUAUAAUAGUUAAAACUUUCAACAACGGAUCU